AACGAACGCUGGCGGCAUGCCUAACACAUGCAAGUCGAACGAAGCCUUCGGGCUUAGUGGCGCACGGGUGCGUAACACGUGGGAAUCUGCCCUUCGGUUCGGAAUAACAGUUAGAAAUGACUGCUAAUACCGGAUGAUGACGUAAGUCCAAAGAUUUAUCGCCGAAGGAUGAGCCCGCGUAGGAUUAGGUAGUUGGUAGGGUAAUGGCCUACCAAGCCGACGAUCCUUAGCUGGUCUGAGAGGAUGAUCAGCCACACUGGGACUGAGACACGGCCCAGACUCCUACGGGAGGCAGCAGUGGGAAUAUUGGACAAUGGGCGAAAGCCUGAUCCAGCAAUGCCGCGUGAGUGAUGAAGGCCUUAGGGUUAUAAAGCUCUUUACCAGGGAUGAUAAUGACAGUACCUGGAGAAUAAGCUCCGGCUAACUCCGUGCCAGCAGCCGCGGUAAU
rnacentral:rRNA from 1 species